rnacentral:rRNA from 1 species
GAUGAACGCUGGCGGCGUGCCUAAUACAUGCAAGUCGAGCGAACAGACGUGGAUCUUGCUCCUUUUACGUUAUCGUCGGACGGGUGAGUAAUACGUGGAUCACCUGCCUUUAAGCCUGGGAUAACUUCUGGAAACCGGAGCUAAUACCUGAUAACCUGUUGAACCGCAUGGUUCAACCUUGAAAGACGGUCUUUCUGUCACUUAUAGAUGGAUCCGCGCCGCCUUAGCUAGUUGUUAAGGUAACGGCUUACUAAGGCAACGAUGCGUAGCCGACCUGAGAGGGUGAUCGGGCACACUGGAACUGAGACACGGUCCAGACUCAUACGGGAGGCAGCAGUAGGGAAGCGUCAGAAAGGGGCGAAAGCCUGACGGAGAAACGCCGAGGGAGUGAAGAAGGUCUUCGGAUCGUAAAACUAUGUUAUUAGGGAAGAACAAAAGUGUAAGUAACUAUGCACGUCGUGACGGUACCGAAUCAGAAAGCCACGGCUAACUACGUG